ACCACUGGUCGGUUUGCGGGCAGUCCGCUUUGUAGGAGCCGUGGUACAGAGACCUCCUUACUUACCCCCCUUCUCCUUCGGCUGGAGCUCGGCGAGCGAGAGGCGGCGCUGGCGUUGGAGAGCGACGGCGGCGCGGCGGCGCCUGCGAACACCAGGGAAGCAGCCUCUAACGUUUGAGGGUCAAUCCAGAUGGAGAGAAGAUAGAGGAGAAAGAGCCGAAUGUGACCCAACCAUAGGUCAUCUCUUGCAACAUGGCACAUGCUGAAUAUUUAGCCCAGCAUUAGGAAGACAUGGAUCCAAAAGUAUUGAAAAAAUGACCAGUGUGUGUAAAGGAGACUCCGAGAUUGACUACCAGACUUCUAGAAUGAUGUAACCAUACCUACAUAGAUUGGCUCAACAUAGGCAACCUAUCGCCAACUGUUCUUCAGAGAUCCCAGGCUCUUCACCACUCUGGCCAUCCUUCUCUGGAUGUGUUCCAGUUUGUCAAAUGUCACCCUUAAAGUUUGGCGUCCAGGAUUGAGCACCACACUGUCUCCAGAGAAGGACAGGCCGGAGGAUACAGAGGUUUCUCUUUGCACAAUCAGGGCAAUCAUUUGGAGGAGUGGAACCUGGGGGUCACCUGUCAGGCUCCAGCACUGAACUAGAAUUUCAACCCAGUUGGAAAUAUUUGAUCUCCGCUUCCACAAGAAAAAGAACAAUUAAAGCCAGGGGUAGAAAUGAGAAACACCUCCAGGGCUUCUUUGGUCCCUUGAAAUACUUGGUUUCUGCAUUCCAAGACUAUGGUUAGACGAGUCAUCUUUCUCAUACUAAGCUACCAAGCAGCAGCUGCCUAGAGACAGCUUUGAGAUCUGGCCCCCAUUCAAUGAUUGUGACAUUCAGAGAUGACUGUUUCAGGGACCAGAGAAGAUGACAGCUUUCCUCCUCUGUCUUCAGAGAAAGCAACAGGCAGCUGGAUACACAACACUGGUUUCUAGCUAUUUUUCCUGCGUAUGUCUGUGCAUGCAUACAUGUGUAUUUGACAUAACUAAGGGCAAGGUCACGUUUUCAUUUUCUUUUUCUUGUUGCCCAGUGAGCCACACUCCUUCUCCCGAACUCUCAAGCCCCUAGCCACAACCCAGCCUUGUAAGUGGAAAUGCUAUGAAUUUACGGCUUGAGAGGUGCACUUGGAUAAGCAUAAAGAACUGUUGGCCAGUGGAAUUCUAAGAGGUGAUCUAUACCGUACAGUGAGCCUCAUACUUGCCAACUUCAUAAAAAUCAGGAAAACAACAACAGAAAUCAUCCUAUUUCAUUGGAAGGAAACUGCUAUACCCUUCGAAGAAAAUGAAACCAAGAUACUAUAUCCUUUGCCUAAUGGGAGCAUAAUUUUCUAACCAUUUGACUUGAUACUUUGAUUUCUUCAACAUUUAUUGACCACCUACUAUAGGCAGACUUUGCUAAGCACCAGGAAUGUAAGGAAGCAAGGAACAGUUUCUGCUUUUCAUGAAUGUCAAGUUCAAAGGAGGAGCAGAUGUAUUCACUGGCAAUGACAAUGCAAUAUGGCAAGUGCUCUGAAAAUG
rnacentral:lncRNA from 1 species